rnacentral:rRNA from 1 species
GAUGAACGCUGGCGGCGUGCUUAACACAUGCAAGUCGAACGGAAAGGCUCCUGCUUGCAGGGGUACUCGAGUGGCGAACGGGUGAGUAACACGCGGGUGAUCUGCCCUGCACUUCGGGAUAAGCCUGGGAAACUGGGUCUAAUACCGGAUAGGACGAUGGUUUGGAUGCCAUUGUGGAAAGUUUUUCGGUGUGGGAUGAGCUCGCGGCCUAUCAGCUUGUUGGUGGGGUAAUGGCCUACCAAGGCGUCGACGGGUAGCCGGCCUGAGAGGGUGUACGGCCACAUUGGGACUGAGAUACGGCCCAGACUCCUACGGGAGGCAGCAGUGGGGAAUAUUGCACAAUGGGCGCAAGCCUGAUGCAGCGACGCCGCGUGGGGGAUGACGGCCUUCGGGUUGUAAACUCCUUUCGCUAGGGACGAAGCGCAAGUGACGGUACCUGGAGAAGAAGCACCGGCUAACUACGUG